AUUCCAGCUCCAAUAGCAUAUAUUUAAGUUGUUGCAGUUAAAAAGCUCAUAGUUGGAUCUUGGGUCGUAAGGGUCGGUCCGCCUACUCGGUGUGCACCUGCCCUUCCGUCCCUUUUGUCGGCGGCGUGCUCCUGGCCUUAAUUGGCUGGGUCGCGGUUCCGGCGCUGUUACUUUGAAAAAAUUAGAGUGCUCAAAGAAAGCUUAUGCUCUGAAUACAUUGGCAUGGAAUAACGUGAUAGGAGUCUGGUCAUAUUGUGUUUGCCUUCGGGAUCGGAGUAAUGAUUAAUAGGGACUGUCAGGGGCAUUCGUAUUUCAUUGUCAGAGGUGAAAUUCUUGGAUUUAUGAAAGACGAACCACUGCGAAAGCAUUUGCCAAGGAUGUUUUCAUUA
rnacentral:rRNA from 1 species